CGGGAGGCAGCAGUGAGGAAUAUUGGUCAAUGGUCGGAAGACUGAACCAGCCAUGCCGCGUGCAGGAAGAAUGCCUUAUGGGUUGUAAACUGCUUUUAUAUGGGAAGAAUAAGGUGUACGUGUACAUUGAUGACGGUACCAUAUGAAUAAGCAUCGGCUAACUCCGUGCCAGCAGCCGCGGUAAUACGGAGGAUGCGAGCGUUAUUCGGAAUCAUUGGGUUUAAAGGGUCUGUAGGCGGGCUAUUAAGUCAGGGGUGAAAGGUUUCAGCUUAACUGAGAAAUUGCCUUUGAUACUGGUAGUCUUGAAUAUCUGUGAAGUUCUUGGAAUGUGUAGUGUAGCGGUGAAAUGCUUA
rnacentral:rRNA from 1 species